rnacentral:rRNA from 1 species
GGCUUCUUGCUGCUUUAAUAUAAGAAGUCUGACCUGCCCAGUGAAAUUUUUAACGGCCGCGGUACUCUGACCGUGCAAAGGUAGCAUAAUCACUUGCCUUAUAAUUGAAGGCUUGUAUGAAUGGUUUGACAAGAAUAAAACUGUCUCUUUUUAAAUACAUAGAAUUUGAUUUUUAGGUGAAGAAGCCUAAAUUAAAUUGAAAGACAAGAAGACCCUAUCGAGCUUAAAAACUUUUUAUUAUAUAAUGAUUAAAUCAAAUUUUAAUAAAAAUUUUUAGUUGGGGCGACUAAGGAACAAAAAAGCUUCCUUUAAAAUUAUUUACUAAUAGGUUUUGAUCCAAAAUAUUUGAUCAUAAAAACUAGUUACCGUAGGGAUAACAGCAUAAUUUUUCUUCAGAGCUCAUAUCGAAAGAAAAGUUUGUGACCUCGAUGUUGGACUAGGAUAUCCUGAUAGAUGUAGAAGUCUUCAAUGGNUGGUCUGUUCGACCAGUAAUAUCCU